rnacentral:tRNA from 2 species
UUCUGCGUAGUUUAGUGGCUAUGACGGGUCCUUGUCAUUGACAAUGUCCGGACCAGACCCGGGUUCAAUUCCCGGCGCGGAAG